UAACGAAUCUUCCGCAAUGCACGAAAGUGUGACGGAGCGACGCCGCGUGUAGGAGAAGCCCUUCGGGGUGUAAACUACUGUCAGGGGUUACCAAGUUCUGAGGAGCCCCAGAGGAAGGGACGGCUAACUCUGUGCCAGCAGCCGCGGUAAGACAGAGGUCCCGAGCGUUAGGCGGAAUCACUGGGCUUAAAGCGUGUGUAGGCGGAUCGUUAAGUGCCUUGUGAAAUCCCACGGCUCAACCGUGGAACUGCUGGGCAUACUGCCGAUCUUGAGCCACUUAGGGGCAACCGGAACAAACGGUGGAGCGGUGAAAUGCGUAGAUAUCGUUUGGAACGCCAAUGGUGAAAACAGGUUGCUGGGAGUGUGCUGACGCUGAGACACGAAAGCCAGGGGAGCGAACGGGAUUAGAUACCCGGGUAGUCC
rnacentral:rRNA from 1 species